GAUGAACGCUGGCGGCGUGCCUAAUACAUGCAAGUCGAGCGAACGGACGAGAAGCUUGCUUCUCUGAUGUUAGCGGCGGACGGGUGAGUAACACGUGGAUAACCUACCUAUAAGACUGUGAUAACUUCGGGAAACCGGAGCUAAUACCGGAUAAUAUUUUGAACCGCAUGGUUCCAAAGUGACAGCCGGCCUUGCUGUCACUUAUAGAUGGAUCCGCGCUGCAUUAGCUAGUUGGUAAGGUAACGGCUUACCAAGGCAACGAUGCAUAGCCGACCUGAGAGGGUGAUCGGCCACACUGGAACUGAGACACGGUCCAGACUCCUACGGGAGGCAGCAGUAGGGAAUCUUCCGCAAUGGGCGAAAGCCUGACGGAGCAACGCCGCGUGAGUGAUGAAGGUCUUCGGAUCGUAAAACUCUGUUAUUAGGGAAGAACAUAUGUGUAAGUAACUGUGCACAUCUUGACGGUACCUAAUCAGAAAGCCACGGCUAACUACGUG
rnacentral:rRNA from 1 species